CUCACUCGGUGUUCCCUCUUUCGCUUCCCUCAGUUCCCAGACGGUCUCAUGGGGGAGAGCCAGAACCUUGGUAGUAGGAGGUCUUCAUUUCACCUGGGGGCUCAGCUGCUUGAGGAUACCGACACAAGGUCCCUCCGUGGAGGACAUGUCCUUCGGCUGGGCGAGGUCGUAGCAAGGGGGUCCGCGGGCAGAGCAGGAGCGUUCCCGUCGAGGAUGCCGCAGCGCCGGCGCUGGGUCUUCUUGAGCAGCGAUGUCCCCGAAGUUCCAGGAGAGGUCAGCACGUCCCCGACCGCUGCUCGCCAUGAGGAAGGUGUCCACAGCCUGAGGCUCCCUCUGCACCUUCUCCAAACUGAACAAGCCUAGUGACCUCAGCAUCUUAAAUCUCAGCCUCAAUACUCUUCAUCAUCUUGGCCCCCGUACUCCUGACACACUCUAAAAGUGUGAUGUCCUUAAAUUGAGGUGCCCAAAACUCCACAUAGGGCUCAAUAUGUGGUGUGCAACCCCACAGCACAGUGUAGAAUGGGUCACCUCCCUGGACUGGCCAGCGGUGCUGUGCCUGAUGCAUUCCUUGACAUAGUCGGCUCUUUUGGCUGUCACUUGUGACACACUCUUGACUCAUAUUCAACUUGACAUCAACCCAAAAACUCAGCUUGCUUUUAAUGGAGCUGCAAUCCAGCCUCUCAUCCCCUAAUUUCUCUGUGCAACCACCAUUUCUCUGUCCUGUGUGGAGAAUCUGGCACUUUUUAGAUUUUAGAUGACUGAUGAUUGAUCAGCUCUCUGUCCAAAUCUCUGUUAGGCUCCUCUACCAUCAAGGGAGUCAACAGCUCCUCCUGGUUUAGUAUAAUCAGACUUAAUUCCUGCAACAGAUCAUUUAUGAGAACAUUAAAGAGCACUGUCCCUGAAUUUGAGCUCUGGGGAACCCUGCUGGUGACUAGGCACUAGCUUCUUAAUCUUGAGAAGAUAGAGAAAUUCCUUAUUUGCUAUUAUGCUGGCUUCAGCUGGGGUACAGUUAAUCUUCACAGUGGGUAGUACAAGUGUAGUGCAAGGCUAGGUUUUGGCAGGGAAAUUGAGGGUGCAUAGGAGGUUGGGAAGACACAGCCAGGAUAGGUGACUCAAACUGGCCAAAGAGAUAUUCCAGACUAUGUGACAUCAUGCUCACUAUAUAAAUUGAGGGGAAGAAGAUGAAGGGGGGAACAUUUGGAGUGAUGGUGUUUGUCUUCCCAAGUAACCCUUAUGCCUGAUGGGAUCCUGCUCUGCUGGAGAUCACUGAACACCGAACUGCCCAGGGGAAGUGGUGACUUAAUUCCUUGUUUUACUUUCUUUUGUGUGUGGCUUUUGCUUUCCCUAUUAUACUCUCUUUACCUCUACCCACGAGUUUUCCAGCUUUUACCCUUCCAAUUCUCUCCCUGAUCUUGGGAGUGGGGUAGUGAAUGAGCAGCUGCUUGGGGCUUGGUUGCUGGCUGGGGUUAAACCUCAACAGUGAUGUAAACCCUGCAGGGUUUGAGGUUUAACUUUAUAAUCUUAAUUUGGAAAGCAGAGGUUGAGGGUGGAUUUCCUUUCUUCUGCCAUGUGCCUCUGCCAUAAAUGAAGCUUUCCAGGAUGGAUGCUGGACCAGUUGAGGAGCAGAGAGUCAGUGCAGUCUAGGAAGCAAACACCACUUACAAACCAAACCCCUCUGGAAACCAAAUUUUCUCCCAGUCCGAAAAUUUCCUGUGACAUUUUGGGAAUGCCUAUGCUGUUCAGAGCAGACACAUCACUUAACAAAAAUUCAGCCCUGGAAAGUAAAAAACCUGAUAUGGUCACACUGAUGUGUCACCCCAGAUUCUGAAAAACAGCAGCCACGAGACCAGUGCCAUGCAAAGGCUAUUUACUCUGUUUUUACACCUCAGCUCUGAACAGAAGCACUGUGCAUGCCUUGGGAGUCCCCAUGUUGUCCUGAACAUGGGCUUGUUACCCAGCAUGCAAUUUGCACACUGAAGUGAGGCAUUUCUAUUAGUGUAUUUCUGUUUCUUUAUUCUUGUUUGUGCAGAGUAAGGAGGAUGUUAACUCACAAAAGGCUGGCCUCCUGAUAAUCAGAGCUUUACACUAUCUAUACAUUUUAAAAAACAAAGGUAUCAACAUUGAUCAGUACAAAUUACAUAACUUUAUUAACUACUACUCAAACCAUUAUUUGCUGGUUGUAUAUCCUUCUUUCUCCUGGUUAUUAGUGCAGGUGCUGUUCUUCUAGUUGAGUUUGGCAUCUCUUUUGAGUAGGUGGCUAAUGGGACAUGAUCACUCACUCUUGGAAUUACCUUUCCCCCCCAGUUACUGCUCAGUCCUGCUGACUUCAGUUCUGGUGGUUUUUGUUCAGCCAGCCCAUUCACCUUGGGAUUGUCUUCUCUUUUCCACAAAACAAAAGAUUAGCCAAGUGUACAAUGUUCACAACGCAACUGCACAAUCAUUACUGUCCAGCUAGUUACAGAUGAACAACAACAACAAAAAAUUUUGCAAAGUUGGACUCAGACCUGUAUUCAGAUCUUGAGAGGCUCAAGUCUGGAGGAGCCUGAUUUAAGCUGGCUUUUGGCUUGUAUCAAUGCACACAAAAUCACAGAAUCAUAGGAUUGUUAGGGCUGGGAGGGACCUUUUGAGGUCAUCUAGUGCAAGCCCCUUGCCAAGGCAGGGUCACCUUAAGCAGGCUACGUAGGAGCAUAUUCAGAUAGGGUUUGAAUGUCUUCGGAGAGGGAGACUCCACAACCUCCCUGGCAUUCUGUUCCCAUGCUCUGCCACCCUCAAUGCAAAGAAGUUCAUCCUCGUGUUGAGCUGGAACUUCUGUUUCAGUUUAUGGCUAUUGCAUCUCAUCCUAUUACUAGGUACCACAGAAAAGAAUCUGGCACCAUUCUCUUGGCAUCUGCUUUUGAGAUAGUUUAUAUACAUGGAUAAAAUCCCCUCUCAGUCUGCUCCAGACUGAGGCAGACCCAGGCCAGACUGAGGCAGUUCUCACAGGCUUUCCUUGUAAAUGACAUGUUCCAGAUCCCUAAUCAUUAUAAUAUUAUUAUUAUUUCAUUCUAUUAUAUAUUCAUAUUAUUACAACCUACUAGAAUAAUAAAUCUUAUAUUCUAUUGGUAUACAUAAAUAUUACAUAUAUAUCUUAUAUAUCUAAAUUAUAUACGUGAUAUAUUUUUAUAUUUUCUUGUAUGAAAAUAAUUAAUAUAGUAGUAGUAGCAGUAGUAGUGUACUACUACUACUACUGCUGCUGUCUUUGCUGAAACCUCUCCAGCAGCUGCUUGUCUGUCUUGGAUUUUCUUUCCAAAUCUGCAUGUCUGCAUCAAUCUGAGCUAUACUGUCAUUCCACAGUAUCCCAUCAGGCUGGCAGCAAGUAACCACUGAAUUAUUUAUGUUGGAAAAGAUCUCUGAGAUCGAUGGGUCCAACCUUUGAGAGAUCCAGUAUAUAUGUGAUAUAUGCGUGAUCUUAGACCCUGUCUUUGACUGGGGCCCAACCAGAGCUCUUGUGCCUGCAGAGCGGGCAGGGAGCUGCC